rnacentral:lncRNA from 1 species
CAACCCCAACAAUGUAAUGCAGCCUGGGUGCUCUCUCUGCAUCCAAGGACCAUGCUUCUGCUGAAUUGGGGCCUUAGUGGGAGACAUCUGUUGGUGUAUCAACCCAGCAAAUCUGGUAGAAGCUACCACUCUGCUCUUGCCCUGGGAGACAGCCAUUCUAAUCAACAGCCAAGAGGAGCCAAUUGAAGGCCGACAGCACAGUGCCAAAAAGUGUUUAGGAAGAGACAAUCCGCCCCCGAUUCAGCGCUUCCCAGCCCGCAGCAACUGCGCAGCGGGGGGAACCCAGGGCUCCGCGGCACCCGCAGGCUUUAGUUACUGCUCCGAGGCCCUCGGACCAAAGAGAGGCUGCGAGGAGGACGCGGCUCGUUUAGCUCGCUGCGAACCUCAAGAUAACCCUUGGUUUCCAUGCACAUCCCCCCAACAUUGCAUGUGCUUUCAUUCCUACGGUGCUGGGGUUACUUUCAUUUAUUGCUUUUGUUGACCAAAAAGAAAAAAACAAUCCUGAGCGUGCACAGGGGGCGCAACGGGGGACCGGCUCCUCGUGGCUGACCGGCGGCGGG